GACGAACGCUGGCGGCGUGCUUAACACAUGCAAGUCGAACGGAAAGGCCCUGCCUUUGUGGGGUGCCCGAGUGGCGAACGGGUGAGUAACACGUGAGUAACCUGCCCUUGACUUUGGGAUAACUUCAGGAAACUGGGGCUAAUACCGGAUAGGUGCUCCUGCUGCAUGGUGGGGGUUGGAAAGUUUCGGCGGUUGGGGAUGGACUCGCGGCUUAUCAGCUUGUUGGUGGGGUAGUGGCUUACCAAGGCUUUGACGGGUAGCCGGCCUGAGAGGGUGACCGGCCACAUUGGGACUGAGAUACGGCCCAGACUCCUACGGGAGGCAGCAGUGGGGAAUAUUGCACAAUGGGCGGAAGCCUGAUGCAGCAACGCCGCGUGCGGGAUGACGGCCUUCGGGUUGUAAACCGCUUUCGCCUGUGACGAAGCGUGAGUGACGGUAAUGGGUAAAGAAGCACCGGCUAACUACGUG
rnacentral:rRNA from 1 species